GGAGAGGAGACUGCUUGCGGGAGACAAAUGAAGAUCCAGAUCGAAUCUCCACGGAAUCGAUCUAGAUCUCUGUUUGCCUCCCACAAUUAGUGUUUACUAUUCC